GUGCUUGCUAUGGCAGCCACAUAUUCUGAAAUUUGAACGACACAGAGAAGAUUUGCGUGGCCCCUGUGCAAAGAUGACACACAAAUUCGUGAAGCGUUCCAUAUUUUU